rnacentral:lncRNA from 1 species
CUCGACCCAGAUCGCUCCCGGCCCGCCGCUCACCUUGAAGUUGACCGGGUCCACCCGAAGCUUGUGCGCGUGCAGGUCGCUCAGGGCGGACAGCGCGUUGGGCAUGUCGUCCACGUGCGCCACGGCGUUGGUCAGCGCGUCGGCCACCUUCUUGCCGUGGCCCUUAACCUGGGCAGAGCCGUGGCUCAGGUCGAAGUGCGGGAAGUAGGUCUUGGUCUGCGGGUGGCUGAGGAAGAGCCUGGGACGGGGGGCGGGGGCCGUGAGCUCCCAGCAGCGCGGCCUCCCGCCACGGCCCACGCGCCCUGCGGCCCUCUCCGAGCACCGGGACACAUCUG